rnacentral:rRNA from 1 species
ACAAGCGGUGGAGUAUGUGGUUUAAUUCGAUGCAACGCGAAGAACCUUACCUGGUCUUGACAUCCCGGAGACCCUUAGGAAACUAGGGGUGCUUCCAUCUGGAAGAAUCUGGAGACAGGUGCUGUAUGGCUGUCGUCAGCUCGUGUCGUGAGAUGUUGGGUUAAGUCCCGCAACGAGCGCAACCCUUGCCUUUAGUUGCCAGCAGUUCGGCUGGGCACUCUAAAGGGACUGCCGGUGUUAAACCGGAGGAAGGUGGGGAUGACGUCAAGUCCUCAUGGCCUUUAUGACCAGGGCUACACACGUACUACAAUGGCCGAUACAAAGGGCAGCGACACUGCGAGGUGAAGCCAAUCCCGUAAAAUCGGUCUCAGUCCGGAUUGGAGUCUGCAACUCGACUCCAUGAAGUUGGAAUCGCUAGUAAUCGUGGAUCAGCAUGCCACGGUGAAUACGUUCCCGGGCCUU